UUGCUUCAGUAGCACAUAUACUAAAAUUGGAAAGAUACAGAGAAGAUUAGCACAGCUCCUUCACAAGGAUGAGACACAAAUUCAUGAGAAGUCCAUGUUAAAA